ACACUUCCUGUUGUUGUCAUGUGAUUCUGCAGCGACCGUAAUGAGAAACGUAUGAAUAGCUGCGCUGGUUUACAUACAUUUUUUUCAGCAAAGGAUGUAUUUGAGCGUAAAUAAAGUUAGAAAUACAAAUGACAGACGAUAGGUUAUUGGACUGAAACCGAAUUAGCGUUAUAUCUGCUCGAGUGAAGCUUGUAUCAUGUCGGAAGUGGAGGAGCAGGGAAGAAAGCAAAGUGAGGAGACAACGACAGAUGACUCAGAGGAGGAUGACACUGAGGAGGAGCCUAAACUGAAGUACGAAAGGCUAACCAAUGGCGUGACAGAGAUCCUACAGAAGGAUGCAGCCAGCUGCAUGACGGUGCAUGAUAAGUUCCUGGCUCUUGGGACACACUUUGGAAAGGUUUACCUGCUGGAUAUCCAAGGAAAUGUUACACAGAAGUUUGAAAUUAGUCCAGUGAAGAUAAACCAGAUUAGUUUGGAUGAGAGUGGUGAGCAUCUUGGCAUCUGUUCGGAAGAUGGAAAGGUGCAAGUGUUUGGCUUGUACACCAGGGAGGGCUUCCACGAAAACUUUGACUGCCCCAUCAAGGUUGUGGCGUUGCACCCUCAGUUCAGCAAAUCCAACAAUAAACAGUUUGUGACUGGAGGAAAUAAGCUGUUUCUAUAUGAGAGGAACUGGCUGAACCGCUGGAAGACAUCUGUUCUGCAUGAAGGAGAGGGCAACAUCAACAAUGUGAAAUGGAGAGCCAACCUCAUUGCCUGGGCAAACAAUAUUGGUGUGAAAAUCUAUGACAUUAGCACUAAACAGCGCAUCACUAACGUGUUGCGGGACAACACCAGUCUGAGGCCAGAUAUGUACCCAUGCAGUCUGUGCUGGAAAGACAACGCUACGCUGAUCAUCGGCUGGGGCUCUUCGGUCAAGAUAUGCGUUGUUAAAGAGCGUGACCCCACAGAGAUGAGAGAUCUUCCCAGUCGCUACGUUGAGAUCGUCUCAGCAUUUGACACCGACUUCUUCAUCAGUGGUCUUGCACCUCUAGCAGAUCAGCUGGUCACACUGUACUAUGUCAAGGAGAACUCGGAUGACAUGGAGGAAGAGUUCAGGACAAGGCCUCGAUUAGAUAUCAUCCAGCCGUUACCAGAGAGCUGCGAGGAGAUCUCAUCCGACGCUCUCACUGUACGCAACUUCCAGGAGAACCAAUGCAGGGACUACAGACUCGAGCACUCAGAGGGAGAAUCUCUCUUCUACAUCAUCAGCCCAAAAGACAUCGUAGUAGCUAAAGAAAGAGACCAGGAUGACCACAUUGACUGGCUGCUGGAGAAGAAGAAAUAUGAGGAGGCACUGAUGGCUGCAGAGAUCAGCUUUAAAAACAUCAAGCGACAUGAUGUUCAGAAAAUUGGUAUGGCGUACAUCAAUCACCUGGUGGAGAAAAAAGAUUAUGACACAGCCGCCAGAAAGUGUCAGAAAGUACUAGGAAGGAACAUGGAUCUUUGGGAGAAUGAGGUGUACAGGUUUAAAACCAUUGGCCAGUUAAAGGCCAUCAGUCGCUACUUACCAAGAGGAGACCUGAGACUUCGGCCAGCCAUUUAUGAGAUGAUCCUGCAUGAUUUUCUCAAGACUGACUAUGAAGGUUUUGCCACAUUGAUUCGUGAGUGGCCUGGCGAACUGUAUAACAACAUGGCUAUAGUUCAGGCAGUGAAUGAACACCUGAAGAAAGACCCAAGCAACCGCACACUCCUCACAACACUGGCUGAACUGUACACGUAUGACCAACGUUAUGACCGAGCUCUAGAGAUCUACCUGAGACUCAGACACAAAGACGUUUACCAGCUUAUUCACAAACACAACCUCUUCUCCUCCAUCAAUGACAAGAUCGUCCUGCUCAUGGAUUUCGACAAAGAGAAAGCUGUUGACAUGCUGCUGGAUAAUGAAGACAAAAUAUGGAUGGACAAAGUAGUGGAUGAAUUGAAAGACAGACCAGAGCUGUUACAUGUGUACCUGCACAAGCUGUUCAAGCGAGAUCACCAUAAGGGGCAGAAGUAUCAUGAGAGACAGAUCAGUUUGUACGCAGAGUUUGAUCGACCCAACCUGCUACCCUUCCUCAGAGAGAGCAUGCACUGUCCUCUUGAGAAGGCUCUGGAAAUUUGUCAGCAGAGGCACUUUGUAGAAGAGACUGUAUUUCUGCUCAGCCGCAUGGGAAACUGCAGACGUGCCCUGCAGAUGAUCAUGGAGGAGCUGGCAGACGUGGACAAGGCCAUCGAGUUUGCCAAAGAGCAGAAUGACCGAGAACUCUGGGAGGAUCUCAUCUCUUACUCCAUAGACAAACCACCAUUUAUCACAGGCCUCCUGAAUAACAUUGGAACCCACGUGGAUCCCAUUCUUCUCAUACAUCGGAUUAAAGAAGGAAUGGAGAUUCCCAAUCUCAGAGACUCACUGGUCAAGAUACUACAGGAUUAUAAUCUACAGAUCUUGUUGAGAGAGGGUUGUAAGAAGAUCCUGGUGGCAGAUUCUCUGUCUCUGCUCCAGAGGAUGCACAGAACGCAGAUGAGAGGAGUACGGGUGGAUGAGGAAAACAUCUGUGAAUCCUGCCACGCUCCUGUUUUACCAUCAGACACGGCCCAGGUAUUCAGUGUGGUGGUCUUUCACUGCAGACACAUGUUUCACAAGGAGUGUCUUCCCUCACCUGGAACUGUUCCAGGUAUGCAGUAUUGUAACAUCUGCAGUGCAAAGCGGAGAGGACCAGGCAGUGGCAUUCUAGAGAUGAAGAAAUAAUCAUUCCUACUGAUAGAUAUUAAAUGAUGCAUAUUAUCAAUGCAGCCUGUUAUAACAAAUAUAUGGAAAUGCUCUUCGGCUUACUAACAUUUUUAAUGCACGGUUUUGUGAUUCCAUAAUUUUGCAGACUAUGAAUCCAUGAAAGUUACAGAUAAAUAAAGAGUAGGCCUACAACUGCCUCAAACUUUUUUUUAAACAACUUCUGUAAUUUAAUAAAGCAGUAACAUAUAUACAGG